GGAUGUGAGGGCGAUCUGGCUGCGACAUCUGUCACCCCAUUGAUCGCCAGGGUUGAUUCGGCUGAUCUGGCUGGCUAGGCGGGUGUCCCCUUCCUCCCUCACCGCUCCAUGUGCGUCCCUCCCGAAGCUGCGCGCUCGGUCGAAGAGGACGACCAUCCCCGAUAGAGGAGGACCGUUCUUCGGUCAAGGGUAUACGAGUAGCUGCGCUCCCCUGCUAGAACCUCCAAACAAGCUCUCAAGGUUCCAGGCCAACCCAGGCAAAAAUUGAUACUAUCUCAAAAAUACUUAACACAAAAAAAAUGCU
rnacentral:snRNA from 1 species